rnacentral:rRNA from 1 species
UACGUAGGGGGCAAGCGUUGUCCGGAAUCAUUGGGCGUAAAGAGCGUGUAGGCGGCUCGAUAAGUCUGCUGUGAAAGUCCAGGGCUCAACCCUGGAAGGCCGGUGGAAACUGUCGGGCUAGAGUCCGGAAGAGGCGAGUGGAAUUCCCGGUGUAGCGGUGAAAUGCGCAGAUAUCGGGAGGAACACCAAUGGCGAAGGCGGCAUCCUGGACCAUUACUGACACUGAAAAGCGAAAGCCAGGGGAGCAAACGGG